GCGGACAGAUGGGAGCUUGCUCCCUGAAGUCAGCGGCGGACGGGUGAGUAACACGUGGGCAACCUGCCUGUAAGACUGGGAUAACUCCGGGAAACCGGGGCUAAUACCGGAUAAUUCUUUCCCUCACAUGAGGGAAAGCUGAAAGAUGGUUUCGGCUAUCACUUACAGAUGGGCCCGCGGCGCAUUAGCUAGUUGGUGAGGUAACGGCUCACCAAGGCAACGAUGCGUAGCCGACCUGAGAGGGUGAUCGGCCACACUGGGACUGAGACACGGCCCAGACUCCUACGGGAGGCAGCAGUAGGGAAUCUUCCGCAAUGGACGAAAGUCUGACGGAGCAACGCCGCGUGAGUGAUGAAGGUUUUCGGAUCGUAAAACUCUGUUGUUAGGGAAGAACAAGUACCGGAGUAACUGCCGGUACCUUGACGGUACCUAACCAGAAAGCCACGGCUAACUACGUGCCAGCAGCCGCGGUAAUACGUAGGUGGCAAGCGUUGUCCGGAAUUAUUGGGCGUAAAGCGCGCGCAGGCGGUUCCUUAAGUCUGAUGUGAAAGCCCCCGGCUCAACCGGGGAGGGUCAUUGGAAACUGGGGAACUUGAGUGCAGAAGAGAAGAGUGGAAUUCCACGUGUAGCGGUGAAAUGC
rnacentral:rRNA from 1 species